UGCGAAGCGAAGCAGUGAUGUGAAGCAAAUACGCACCAAAGCCAGUCCCAGUUCGGAUAAGAGGCUGAAACUCGCCUCUUUGAAGUCGGAAUCGCUAGUAAUCGCAGAUCAGCAUGUUGCGGUGAAUACGUUCCCGGGUCUUGUACACACCGCCCGUCAAACCAUGAGAGUCACCAACACCCGAAGUCCGCCUUGGCGGCCUAAGGUGGGGGAGAUGAUUGGGGUGAAGUCGUAACAAGGUAGC
rnacentral:rRNA from 1 species